rnacentral:rRNA from 1 species
GACGAACGCUGGCGGCGUGCUUAACACAUUCAAGUCGAACGGAAAGGCCCUGCUUUUGUGGGGUGCUCGAGUGGCGAACGGGUGAGUAACACGUGAGUAACCUGCCCUUGACUUUGGGAUAACUUCAGGAAACUGGGGCUAAUACCGGAUAGGAGCUCCUGCUGCAUGGUGGGGGUUGGAAAGUUUCGGCGGUUGGGGAUGGACUCGCGGCUUAUCAGCUUGUUGGUGGGGUAGUGGCUUACCAAGGCUUUGACGGGUAGCCGGCCUGAGAGGGUGACCGGCCACAUGGGGACUGAGAUACGGCCCAGAAUACUACGGGAGGCAGCAGUGGGGAAUAUUGCAAAAUGGGCGGAAGCCUGAUGCAGCAACGCCGCGUGCGGGAUGACGGACUUAGGGUUGUAAACCGCUUUCGACUGUGACGAAGCGUGAGUGACGGUAAUGGGUAAAGAAGCACCGGAUAACUAAGUG